GAUGAACGCUGACAGAAUGCUUAACACAUGCAAGUCAACUUGAAUUUGGGUUUUUAACUUAGGUUUGGGUGGCGGACGGGUGAGUAACGCGUAAAGAACUUGCCUCACAGCUAGGGACAACAUUUGGAAACGAAUGCUAAUACCUAAUAUUAUGAUAAUAGGGCAUCCUAUAAUUAUGAAAGCUAUAAGCGCUGUGAGAGAGCUUUGCGUCCCAUUAGCUAGUUGGAGAGGUAACGGCUCACCAAGGCGAUGAUGGGUAGCCGGCCUGAGAGGGUGAUCGGCCACAAGGGGACUGAGACACGGCCCUUACUCCUACGGGAGGCAGCAGUGGGGAAUAUUGGACAAUGGACCAAGAGUCUGAUCCAGCAAUUCUGUGUGCACGAUGAAGUUUUUCGGAAUGUAAAGUGCUUUCAGUUGGGAAGAAAGAAAUGACGGUACCAACAGAAGAAGUGACGGCGAAAUACGU
rnacentral:rRNA from 1 species